UCUUUUACUAUCUCAGUUCUCAUCCUCCUUCCAACCAAGAAUUAGAUAGGGGUCAAAGACCAAACGUUGACACAUUCUUUCAACUUCAACUAAACGCCGCUAUGAACAACUAUAAAACCAUCUUAAUUUCAUAGAUACCAAUGACAGGAGAAAUGAUGCUUCAGUACGGGAAGGACAGGACUUUCAAGUCCAUAAUGGAAGAAAACAAAAGUUGUUUGCUGAGGCAUAGUUCCAACUUUGCUGAUACUUGAACUAUAUAUAUUAUAUAAUCGAAUGCCUUGGUAAUUAUCAUGCCAAAACCUACGCCAGCCAUCAUAACUGACUCAGAAUUCAGCAGGGAUAUAACUUGAUUUCAGGUAACACGGAGAACUUAAGCAAGACUUACAUUUACUGACAUAGAGAACUGAACAUCACCUCAGUUCAUCUCCAGGUGACUUGA
rnacentral:lncRNA from 1 species